CUGGUGUUCUUGGAUAUGACGACGACAAGAGAUGUUUGUGUAGACAGGACCCGAUGGGUCUGGUACCCAGUUCCUCGUAAAGAUGUCACACUUUGUGGAAACUACAAACAGAGCAGUGAUGUUGACUGGGGAAUAAACGGGGGCUGGAGCUUGAGCAACUGAGGCAGUGAGACCGGAAGGUUCUGCCGGCGAGGUUCUUACUUGUGCAAUCAGAGAGCCGGUGGAAUCGGUGAUGAUGAAACGGUAAGUGAGACCGACGAGAAGGAAGAAGGCGACGAAGUUGAGGAAUAUUUGAUUGCGUUGGUGAGAGGAGUUACCAAAUGGAUUUCCUUCGAUCUUCAUCUUCUUCGACAGUGAUCUCAAUCUAUCCAUGUGAAUGUGUGAACUCUUGAGAGGAGUGUUGCUUUUGGAAGGUAUUGAAUUGUUUGUAUUAGCUUUCUUGGAGUUUUUUUGGUUGUUGAUGAAAGCUAGGAGCUUCCUGGUAAACAAUGACAGGGUGUUUUUUUUUUUGAAUUCAAAGUCAUUUGUAGUAUUAGUUUUUGUAA